rnacentral:rRNA from 1 species
UACGUAGGCAGCGAGCGUUGUUCGGAGUUACUGGGCGUAAAGGGUGCGUAGGCGGUUGUUUAAGUUUGGUGUGAAAUCUCCCGGCUCAACUGGGAGGGUGCGCCGAAUACUGAAUGACUAGAGUGCGGUAGGGGAGACUGGAAUUCCUGGUGUAGCGGUGAAAUGCGCAGAUAUCAGGAGGAACACCGGUGGCGAAGGCGGGUCUCUGGGCCGUAACUGACGCUGAGGAGCGAAAGCGUGGGUAGCAAACAGG